CUACGGGGUGCACCAGUGAGGAAUAUUGCACAAUGGGGGGAACCCUGAUGCAGCAACGCCGCGUGGAGGAUGACGCAUUUCGGUGUGUAAACUCCUUUUAUAUGUCAAGAAAAUGACGGUAGCAUAUGAAUAAGCACCGGCUAACUCCGUGCCAGCAGCCGCGGUAAUACGGAGGGUGCAAGCGUUACGCGGAAUCACUGGGCGUAAAGGACGCGUAGGCGGGUUGGAAAGUCAGGUGUGAAAUCCUACAGCUUAACUGUAGAACUGCACUUGAAACUUCUAAUCUAGAGUAUGGGAGGGGGAGAUGGAAUUAGUGGUGUAGGGGUAAAAUCCGUAGAUAUCACUAGGAAUACCUAAAGCGAAGGCGAUCUCCUGGAACAUUACUGACGCUAAGGCGUGAAAGCGUGGGGAGCAAACAGGAUUGAUACCCCCGUAGUC
rnacentral:rRNA from 1 species